UACGAAGGGGGCUAGCGUUGUUCGGAAUUACUGGGCGUAAAGGGCGCGUAGGCGGACUGUUAUAGUCAGGGGUGAAAUCCCGGGGCUCAACCUCGGAAUUGCCUUUGAUACUGGCGGUCUUGUGGACAGGAGAGGGUCGUGGAAUUCCCAGUGUAGAGGUGAAAUUCGUAGAUAUUGGGAAGAAUAGCGGUGGCGAAGGCGGCGACCCGGACCGGAUCUGAUGCUGAGGCGCGAAAGCGUGGGGAGCAAACAGG
rnacentral:rRNA from 1 species